rnacentral:rRNA from 1 species
AUUGAACGCUGGCGGCAUGCCUUACACAUGCAAGUCGAACGGCAGCACGGGAGCUUGCUCCUGGUGGCGAGUGGCGAACGGGUGAGUAAUACAUCGGAACGUACCCUGAAGUGGGGGAUAACGUAGCGAAAGUUACACUAAUACCGCAUAUUCUGUGAGCAGGAAAGAGGGGGAUCGCAAGACCUCUUGCUUUAGGAGCGGCCGAUGUCGGAUUAGCUAGUUGGUGAGGUAAAGGCUCACCAAGGCGACGAUCUGUAGCGGGUCUGAGAGGAUGAUCCGCCACACUGGGACUGAGACACGGCCCAGACUCCUACGGGAGGCAGCAGUGGGGAAUUUUGGACAAUGGGCGCAAGCCUGAUCCAGCCAUGCCGCGUGAGUGAAGAAGGCCUCGG